rnacentral:rRNA from 1 species
GACGAACGCUGGCGGCGCGCCUAACACAUGCAAGUCGAACGGAGAAUGCUAAGCUUGCUUUGCAUUUCUUAGUGGCGGACGGGUGAGUAACACGUGGGCAACCUGCCUUUGUGAGGGGAAUAACGUCUGGAAACGGACGCUAAUACCGCAUAACGUCAAGGAACCGCAUGGUUUUUUGACCAAAGAUUUAUUCGCACAAAGAAUGGGCGUCGCGGCUGAUUAGUCUAGUUGGCGGGGUAACGGCCCACCAAGGCGACGAUCAGUAGCCGGA